GCCGUCUUAGCUCAAUCGGCAGAGCAACGCUUUCGUAAAGCGUAGGUUUCGAGUUCAACUCUCGAAGACGGCU
rnacentral:tRNA from 1 species